rnacentral:rRNA from 1 species
AUUGAACGCUGGCGGCAUGCCUUACACAUGCAAGUCGAACGGUAACAGGUCUUCGGAUGCUGACGAGUGGCGAACGGGUGAGUAAUACAUCGGAACGUGCCUAGUAGUGGGGGAUAACUACUCGAAAGAGUGGCUAAUACCGCAUGAGAUCUACGGAUGAAAGCAGGGGAUCGCAAGACCUUGUGCUACUAGAGCGGCCGAUGGCAGAUCAGGUAGUUGGUGGGAUAAAAGCUUACCAAGCCGACGAUCUGUAGCUGGUCUGAGAGGACGAUCAGCCACACUGGGACUGAGACACGGCCCAGACUCCUACGGGAGGCAGCAGUGGGGAAUUUUGGACAAUGGGCGCAAGCCUGAUCCAGCAAUGCCGCGUGCAGGAUGAAGGCCUUCGGGUUGUAAACUGCUUUUGUACGGAACGAAAAGCCCUGGUUAAUACCCUGGGGUCAUGACGGUACCGUAAGAAUAAGCACCGGCUAACUACGUGCCAGCAGCCGCCGUAACAC